rnacentral:lncRNA from 1 species
AAUGGUUCGUAGAAUGUUUUGAGACAAGGUUGGUCACAGAUGGUUAUAGUUAUAUGGAGAGAGUUGAUGUUUUCUCUCUUGUUCGAGUAUUACGAGGGAUUUAAAUGGAGGUUCGAUAUCGAAAUAGCGGCCGUUAUAUAGCGGUAGCAGCACCGUCCAAAAUUGCUAUUGCUGAAAAUAGCAGUGUGAAGCGGAGUCACAUCGAUAGCGGUGGAUCGCGGCUGCAAUUUAAUGGGUAACGGCCAAUUGCGGCAAUAACAGGCCGCUAUUCUCG